CAACGAGUAAAAAAGAACUGCAAUUGAUGUGGGAUGGGAUCUUAUGUUGUACAGCUGUUGUCUCCCUGAGAACCUCACAGUUUACGGGGGCUGCCGAGACCGUCAGUGUUUUUGACAACAUCUGGUAUGGGAUGCAGGCGUCCUAAGGGGCGUGUUAACUGCAGUGCCAGACAGCUGCCUCGGCUUUGAGUUGUUGCUCUCUUACCUGUGGUUUUCUACCUAGGGUGUCUGUUUGACAGUUGAAAACGUGAAGCUUUUUAAAGAACCUUCGGUGUGUUCACUUGGCACGCAGGGAGAGCCUGAUGACGGUGCGGAAGGCAGCUGCCUCCAUUUUUCUCGCUUUCUGUAAGUGGCGCAUCACUCGAUGGGGCCUCUUGUUUUGCCGGUGUCCUCUCGUUGGCCCUCAGAAUUCCAGACGGUGACAGCAGCCAAGUUCCUUCAACCGCCGGCUGAGUAAUGGAUGUGACCCUGAAGGGGUCACCGACCUGAGCCAGGUGCUCAUGAGUAUCUUGUUGCCCGUGUAGGGGGCGCGCGCAUGGCAGAUGACUUCAGUGUUCCCCAGCAUGAAGAAUGGCCAUUCUGGGAACUCAGCAGAAAAGUGUCCACAGUGAACAAAAUGGCCUUUGGAGAAAGUUUGAAUUUGAACUGGACCAGACAGCUGCUUCGUGUUUUCAGUCCACUCAUCCUGAUCUCGUGCAACAGAUAAUCAAGCAGCAUCCGCCCUCCUGCAGUCAGCUUUAA
rnacentral:lncRNA from 1 species